rnacentral:misc_RNA from 1 species
UACGGAGGGUGCAAGCGUUGUCCGGAAUUAUUGGGCGUAAAGCGCGCGCAGGCGGUUCCUUAAGUCUGAUGUGAAAGCCCACGGCUCAACCGUGGAGGGUCAUUGGAAACUGGGGAACUUGAGUGCAGAAGAGGAGAGUGGAAUUCCAAGUGUAGCGGUGAAAUGCGUAGAGAUUUGGAGGAACACCAGUGGCGAAGGCGACUCUCUGGUCUGUAACUGACGCUGAGGCGCGAAAGCGUGGGGAGCGAACAGG